CUUUUUCAUGUAUGAUUUUCCUUCCCCCUCCUAAUUUCAUUGUAGUGGAUAAUUAUUUUUGACACAACCUUCUUUUGAUGCAUUAUCCAUUGAUUGAGUUCAAUAUGCCUUUUUAAGAUGCAGAAUUCAAGUGCAGCCAUGGACAUGAGAGUUAUGGGAUUUAUGAGAUUCGUUGCAUGAUCCAAUGACAGGUAUCAAGCAAAAAAAAGUGACUUAGUGAAGAGUUUUUUAGCAAUCAGCAAUAUGUUUUAUGGUAAAUAUUCUUGCCUUGUCUAAGUGACUUUAUCUGGGCAUGACCGGUGGCUACCCCAUUUAAAGGAGAAGAUUUAUGGUAUGUUAGAAGCCCAACAGCAUAACAGAAGUAGUUAAAAUCUUAUGAACUUAAAUCAGUAUUAUUUGCUUUUUUGCACAGUAUUUAUCUACCUGAUUGGAUUUUACUGACAAGACAUGGCCACAGGUCACUAAUUGUCUACAUUGCUGGAGUCUGAUUUUACUGCAUGUUCUUUCACAUGUAUUUCUGGUUCAACCUUCUGUUGACAUUGUGAGAUGCUGUUUUUGAUUGACAAUUAUCACUAAUAAAAAUAGAAAAGUAAAGGUUCUUUUGUUG
rnacentral:misc_RNA from 1 species